rnacentral:rRNA from 1 species
UUGUCCGGAUUUAUUGGGCGUAAAGAGCGUGUAGGCGGCCAGAUAGGUCCGUUGUGAAAACUCGAGGCUCAACCUCGAGACGCCGAUGGAAACCAUUUGGCUAGAGUCCGGAAGAGGAGAGUGGAAUUCCUGGUGUAGCGGUGAAAUGCGCAGAUAUCAGGAGGAACACCCGUGGCUAAGGCGGCUCUCUGGGACGGUACUGACGCUGAGGUGCGAAAGCGUGGGGAGCAAACAGG